rnacentral:rRNA from 1 species
AUUGAACGCUGGCGGAAUGCUUUACACAUGCAAGUCGAACGGCAGCACGGACUUCGGUCUGGUGGCGAGUGGCGAACGGGUGAGUAAUACAUCGGAACGUGCCCAGUCGUGGGGGAUAACGUAGCGAAAGCUACGCUAAUACCGCAUACGAUCUAAGGAUGAAAGCGGGGGAUCGCAAGACCUCGCGCGAUUGGAGCGGCCGAUGGCAGAUUAGGUAGUUGGGGGGGUAAAGGCUCACCAAGCCGACGAUCUGUAGCUGGUCUGAGAGGACGACCAGCCACACUGGGACUGAGACACGGCCCAGACUCCUACGGGAGGCAGCAGUGGGGAAUUUUGGACAAUGGGCGCAAGCCUGAUCCAGCCAUUCCGCGUGCAGGAUGAAGGCCCUCGGGUUGUAAACUGCUUUUGUACGGAACGAAAAGGCUCUGGUUAAUACCCGGGGCUCAUGACGGUACCGUAAGAACAAGCACCGGCUAACUACGUGCCAGCAGCCGCAGUAA